AAAGAGGCCCAGCACCUGUGUGUGCUAGUUGACAGCUGGAUGAACAUGGACAAGCAGUGAACCCAGGUGGCCAAGAAAGCCAGUGUCAUCCUGGACUGUAUCAGCAAUAGUGGGGCCAGCAGGACUCUUAUUGUCCCCCUGGACUCGGCACUGGUGAGGCCAAACCUCGAGUGCUGUGGGCCCCUCAGUUCAGGGAGGAUAUUGAGGUGCUGGAAUGGGUCCAGAGAAGGGUAAAAAAACUUGGUGAAAGGUCUGGAGCACAAGUCCUGCAAGGAGUGGCUGAGAGAGCUAUGGUUCUUUAGCCUGGAGGAAACUUGGGGGUGAUCUUAUCACUCUAAGCUGCCUGAAAGGAGGUUCUAACCAGAUCUAGAGAGACUUUCCAUACCGAAAGGAAGGAAGAUACAUACUGCUGAGCUGUUUGCUAUUCAUCUUCCAUUCUUUAGAGAAGACCUUAAUACUGACCUUUUCAAAGGAACCAACUGGAAAUAUAGGAAAACCAACAACAUGGGAAUGAGAAGGGAUGCUGAACAUGUCCAAAAAAUCAAAUUUCUGAACAUUAUCAUUUUCACUGAGAUGUGUCAUAAAAAUCAACAGUGGAGAUGUAUCGCAAAGGAAAGUUGAUGAAAAAAACACAUACAUUUUCAUGACACAAUUGAGGAAGAGACCAGGUUUCAGUAGACUUGCAAGAUCACCAUGGAAGUACUGUCUGUGCUUUGGACAGUAGAGUAUUGCACAAGAAAUUUUUGAUGUAGAAGAAAAGCUAAUGGAUGUAUUUUAAAAGAGGACAGACAUAGAAUGAAAAGAUAACACUAAAUAAGGAUGCAGUCUUAUGUGUACAUUUGAAAGCAGAAAGAAAGGCUAGCAACUUUAUGUAGAUUCACAGUUUUAAAGUUUCCUGCCAUAUUUAUAUCCUAAAUGAGCCUGGGGUCACAAUGGAAGCUUUAGCGUUGGAGGAGACUGUGGAAUACUAAACUGAUUUCAUACUCUAAGGUUACCAAAUAGAGUUCUAAAGUUUACAGCACUUUCUGUAAAUUAUUAUUCCUUGCCUGUGGCUUUCAAUCAUUGAAAUGGUUUGGAAAACAACUCAAUUGUAAUCUAGUUUUGAAAAUUUUAGUAAUAGAAUUAAAAUUCAGAAUAUAUGCCCUGUGUUUAACUGACUAUACCAAUUGAGAA